AUUGAACGCUGGCGGCAGGCUUAACACAUGCAAGUCGAGCGGAGAUGAGGUGCUUGCACCUUAUCUUAGCGGCGGACGGGUGAGUAAUGCUUAGGAAUCUGCCUAUUAGUGGGGGACAACAUUCAGAAAGGAAUGCUAAUACCGCAUACGCCCUACGGGGGAAAGCAGGGGAUCUGCGGACCUUGCGCUAAUAGAUGAGCAUAAGUAGGAUUAGCUAGUUGGUGGGGUAAAGGCCUACCAAGGCGACGAGCUGUAGCGGGUCUGAGAGGAUGAACCGCCACACUGGGACUGAGACACGGCCCAGACUCCUACGGGAGGCAGCAGUGGGGAAUAUUGGACAAUGGGCGGAAGCCUGAUCCAGCCAUGCCGCGUGUGUGAAGAAGGCCUUUUGGUUGUAAAGCACUUUAAGCGAGGAGGAGGCUACCUGGAUUAAUACUCUAGGAUAGUGGACGUUACUCGCAGAAUAAGCACCGGCUAACUCUGUGCCAGCCGCCGCGGUAAAAC
rnacentral:rRNA from 1 species